UACGGGGGGGGCAAGCGUUGUUCGGAAUUACUGGGCGUAAAGGGCUCGUAGGCGGCCAACUAAGUCGGAUGUGAAAUCCCCAGGCUCAACUUGAGAACUGCAUCCGAUACUGGAUGGCUUGAAUUCGGGAGAGGGAUGCAGAAUUCCAGGUGUAGCGGUGAAAUGCGUAGAUAUCUGGAGGAAUACCGGUGGCGAAGGCGGCAUCCUGGACCGACAUUGACGCUGAGGAGCGAAAGCUAGGGGAGCAAACAGG
rnacentral:rRNA from 1 species